rnacentral:rRNA from 1 species
CAGCAGCCGCGGGAAUACGUAGGGUGCAAGCGUUAAUCGGAAUUACUGGGCGUAAAGCGUGCGCAGGCGGUUCGCUAAGACAGAUGUGAAAUCCUCGGGCUUAACCUGGGAACUGCAUUUGUGACUGGCGGGCUAGAGUAUGGCAGAGGGGGGUAGAAUUCCACGUGUAGCAGUGAAAUGCGUAGAGAUGUGGAGGAAUACCGAUGGCGAAGGCAGCCCCCUGGGCCAAUACUGACGCUCAUGCACGAAAGCGUGGGGAGCAAACAGGAUUAGAUACCCGCGUAGUCCCUGUCUCUUAUAC